UAUCGGAACGUGCCCGGUCGUGGGGGAUAACGUAGCGAAAGCUACGCUAAUACCGCAUACGAUCUAUGGAUGAAAGCGGGGGAUCGCAAGACCUCGCGCGAUUGGAGCGGCCGAUAUCAGAUUAGGUAGUUGGUGAGGUAAAGGCUCACCAAGCCGACGAUCUGUAGCUGGUCUGAGAGGACGACCAGCCACACUGGGACUGAGACACGGCCCAGACUCCUACGGGAGGCAGCAGUGGGGAAUUUUGGACAAUGGGCGCAAGCCUGAUCCAGCAAUGCCGCGUGCAGGAUGAAGGCCUUCGGGUUGUAAACUGCUUUUGUACGGAACGAAACGGUGAGCUCUAAUACAGUUUGCUAAUGACGGUACCGUAAGAAUAAGCACCGGCUAACUACGUG
rnacentral:rRNA from 1 species